rnacentral:rRNA from 1 species
UGGGGAAUAUUGCACAAUGGGCGCAAGCCUGAUGCAGCCAUGCCGCGUGUGUGAAGAAGGCCUUCGGGUUGUAAAGCACUUUCAGCGAGGAGGAAGGUGGUGGACUUAAUACGUUCAUCAAUUGACGUUACUCGCAGAAGAAGCACCGGCUAACUCCGUGCCAGCAGCCGCGGUAAUACGGAGGGUGCAAGCGUUAAUCGGAAUUACUGGGCGUAAAGCGCACGCAGGCGGUUUGUUAAGUCAGAUGUGAAAUCCCCGGGCUCAACCUGGGAACUGCAUUGAAACUGGCAAGCUAGAGUCUCGUAGAGGGGGUAGAAUUCCAGGUGGUAGCGGUGCAAAUGCGUAGAGAUCUGGAGGAAUACCGGUGGCGAGGGCGGCCCCCAUGGACGAAGACUGA